AGGACGAACGCUGGCGGCGUGCAUAAAACAUGCAAGUCGGACGAACAAAAUCCCGCAAGGGAUUAGUUAGUGGCGAACGGCUGAGUAACACGUAGGUGACCUGCCCCGAAGUGGGGGACAACUCGCCGAAAGGCGAGCUAAUACCGCAUGUGACCACCGGUUCGUUCCGGUGCUCAAAGCAGUAAUGCGCUUCGGGAGGGGCCUGCGGCGGAUUAGCUAGUUGGUGGGGUAAUGGCCUACCAAGGCUUCGAUCCGUAGC
rnacentral:rRNA from 1 species